rfam:Nasonia vitripennis chromosome 5 unlocalized genomic scaffold Chr5_random001, whole genome shotgun sequence.
GCAUCAGUGGUUCAGUGGCAGAGUGCUCGCCUGCCACGCGAACGGCCCGAGUUCGAUUCCCGGCUGAUGCA